rnacentral:rRNA from 1 species
UACGGAGGGUGCAAGCGUUAUCCGGAUUCACUGGGUUUAAAGGGUGCGUAGGUGGGAAUGUAAGUCAGUGGUGAAAUCUCUGAGCUUAACUCAGAAACUGCCAUUGAUACUAUGUUUCUUGAAUUAUCUGGAGGUCAGCGGAAUAUGUCAUGUAGCGGUGAAAUGCUUAGAUAUGACAUAGAACACCAAUUGCGAAGGCAGCUGGCUACAGGUGGAUUGACACUGAGGCACGAAAGCGUGGGGAUCAAACAGG